CUGCACUGUUCGUAACCUGCUUCAGCCUGUCCAUCUGAGAUUUGGUUCCAUUCCAGUGCAAAAGUAACACUCAUUGAGGCAGGGGAGUCGUGCCUUGUGCUUUCUCCCUGUUCACUCUCUGAUGACAAAA